GACCCAUGGUCAAACAAAUAUUUGCAUUCUUUCAUAAACAUGCAUAAUACCUUCGACUACUAAUUCAGAAGUUUUAGAAUCAUAUUCAGUGAUAGCAUACACUCUGACUUGGGCUGAUGAUUUAAGAGGCAAUGACUCUUUCUUCUAUUCAAAGGACAGUCUUUUAUUUUAUGAUCCAACUUUCUACAAGCAAAAUAGACUCCAAUCACCCGAAAACACAAACUUGUUUCAUAAUUUAACUUGCAAUCCACACGUGAUUGAGUCUUUUGUGGUGACUUACCAUUUCAAAUCCAAAUGUCUUGACCCUCUUAUUAUUACUUUCUGAUUCAUUUCCAAUCAUAUUUUUAUUGGUAAACUUGUCCUUAUCAUUCUUGCCAUAGAUUUCCAAAAAUUCUUUUUAUUGUUGCCAUUAAUAAUCAGCCUCUACUUCCAAUAUAAGGUAGCAAAAGAAAUCUUUUGAUCAUCAGAACAAUUUUGUACAUCAUAUAUCUUCUCCAUUUGCAUCAUCCAUUUUUCUACCACCAAUGAAAUUAGGUUCAUCAUGCUUCUGCUGCGCCACUCUGAUCCAAUAUCCCCAAUCAAUCAUUUCAUUCCCCUUAAUUAAUCAAAAACAAAUGAAAUAGGAGGACCAAAUGUCCUCGUCAUCCUAGAUUCCUAAAAUACAUCAAAGAAAAUUUUCACCGAUCACUAAAGUUCAUUAGACCUCAAUAUAUUUUGCAUGUCAACAUAUCAAAUAUUUCAGUAAUCCUCAAACCAUGCUCUAAUACCACCUCUGUCACGCCCCUCAAAAUAUC
rnacentral:lncRNA from 1 species